rnacentral:rRNA from 1 species
GUAGUUAGCCGGGGCUUCCUCCUUGGCUACCGUCACUUUCUUCGUCACCAAGGACAGAGGUUUACAACCCGAAGGCCUUCAUCCCUCACGCGGCGUUGCUGGGUCAGGCUUGCGCCCAUUGCCCAAUAUUCCCCACUGCUGCCUCCCGUAGGAGUCUGGACCGUGUCUCAGUUCCAGUGUGGCCGAUCAGCCUCUCAGCUCGGCUACCCAUCGUCGACUUGGUGGGCCGUUACCCCGCCAACUAUCUAAUGGGACGCGAACCCCUCCAAUAGCGGAUUGCUCCUUUGACCUCAUCCUGAUGUCAGGUCGUGGUCUUAUGCGGUAUUAGCAACCGUUUCCGGUUGUUAUCCCCCUCUACUGGGCAGGUUGUUCACGCGUUACUCACCCGUUCGCCACUAAGCUCUGGAGCAAGCUCCUUCGCUUCGUUCGACUUGCAUGUGUUAGGCGACGCCGCCACGCGUUCGUCCUCGAGCGACGAGUACAACUACUGA